ACGUUAUCACGAAAGGUAGAGGGAUUAGACCCUGUGAAGCCUUGGCAACCUCUCAUUUAUGAGAAAGGUGCUACAUUCUACAAGAAUACUAUGAAUUUAAUUCAUUUAUUUUUGACAGAUAACAG
rnacentral:ncRNA from 2 species